AGUAACGGCGAGUGAAGCGGCAACAGCUCAAAUUUGAAAUCUGGCGUCUUUGGCGUCCGAGUUGUAAUUUGCAGAGGGCGCUUUGGCAUUGGCAGCGGUCCAAGUUCCUUGGAACAGGACGUCACAGAGGGUGAGAAUCCCGUACGUGGUCGCUAGCCUUUACCGUGUAAAGCCCCUUCGACGAGUCGAGUUGUUUGGGAAUGCAGCUCUAAAUGGGAGGUAAAUUUCUUCUAAAGCUAAAUACUGGCCAGAGACCGAUAGCGCACAAGUAGAGUGAUCGAAAGAUGAAAAGCACUUUGGAAAGAGAGUUAAAAAGCACGUGAAAUUGUUGAAAGGGAAGCGCUUGCAGCCAGACUUGCCUGUAGUUGCUCAUCCGGGUUUCUACCCGGUGCACUCUUCUAUAGGCAGGCCAGCAUCAGUUUGGGCGGUUGGAUAAAGGUCUCUGUCAUGUACCUCCUUUCGGGGAGAACUUAUAGGGGAGACGACAUGCAACCAGCCUGGACUGAGGUCCGCGCAUCUGCUAGGAUGCUGGCGUAAUGGCUGUAAGCGGCCCGUCUUGAAACACGGACCAAGGAGUCUAACAUCUAUGCGAGUGUUUGGGUGUCAAGCCCGAGCGCGUAAUGAAAGUGAACGGAGGUGGGAACCUUUCGGGGUGCACCAUCGACCGAUCCUGAUGUCUUCGGAUGGAUUUGAGUA
rnacentral:rRNA from 1 species